rnacentral:rRNA from 1 species
GUGUCAGCAGCCGCGGUAAUACGUAGGUGGCGAGCGUUGUCCGGAUUUAUUGGGCGUAAAGCGCGUGCAGGCGGUUCGUUAAGUUCAGGGUGAAAGCUCCCGGCUCAACUGGGAGAGGUCCUUGGAUACUGGCGGACUUGAGGGAGGUAGAGGAGAGUGGAAUUCUCGGUGUAGUGGUGAUAUGCGUAGAUAUCGAGAGGAACACCAGUGGCGAAGGCGGCUCUCUGGGCCUUUCCUGACGCUGAGACGCGAAAGCGUGGGGAGCGAACCGGAUUAGAAACCCUGGUAGUCC